CCUACGGGCGGCUGCAGUGGGGAAUAUUGCACAAUGGGCGCAAGCCUGAUGCAGCCAUGCCGCGUGUGUGAAGAAGGCCUUCGGGUUGUAAAGCACUUUCAGCGGGGAGGAAGGCGGUGAGGUUAAUAACCUCAUCGAUUGACGUUACCCGCAGAAGAAGCACCGGCUAACUCCGUGCCAGCAGCCGCGGUAAUACGGAGGGUGCAAGCGUUAAUCGGAAUUACUGGGCGUAAAGCGCACGCAGGCGGUCUGUCAAGUCGGAUGUGAAAUCCCCGGGCUCAACCUGGGAACUGCAUUCGAAACUGGCAGGCUAGAGUCUUGUAGAGGGGGGUAGAAUUCCAGGUGUAGCGGUGAAAUGCGUAGAGAUCUGGAGGAAUACCGGUGGCGAAGGCGGCCCCCUGGACAAAGACUGAUGCUCAGGUGCGAAAGCGUGGGGAGCAAACAGGAUUAGAUACCCGAGUAGUC
rnacentral:rRNA from 1 species